UAUCAAGAUUGACAAUGUUAUGGAUGUGGC
rnacentral:piRNA from 1 species